CCUACGGGUGGCAGCAGUGGGGAAUAUUGCGCAAUGGGCGAAAGCCUGACGCAGCGACGCCGCGUGAGGGAUGAAGGUCCUCGGAUCGUAAACCUCUGUUAGCAGGGAAGAACGGUCACUGUGCUAAUCAGCAAUGAAUUGACGGUACCCGACUAAGAAGCCCCGGCUAACUACGUGCCAGCAGCCGCGGUAAUACGUAGGGGGCGAGCGUUAUCCGGAUUUAAUGGGUGUAAAGGGAGCGUAGACGGCGUCGCAAGGCUGAAGUGAAAGCCCGUGGCGCAACCGCGGAACCGCUGUGGAAACUGCGUGGCUGGAGUGCUGGAGAGGUAAGCGGAAUUCGUGGUGUAGCGGUGAAAUGCGUAGAUAUCAGGAGGAACACCGGUGGCGAAGGCGGCUUACUGGACAGUAACUGACGUUGAGGCUCGAAGGCGUGGGGAGCGAACAGGAUUAGAUACCCGAGUAGUC
rnacentral:rRNA from 1 species